rnacentral:pre_miRNA from 1 species
CCUGAGAGAUUGAAGCUGCCAGCAUGAUCUGGUAACAUCCCCAGUAUUUCAUCUUUCUUUCUUUCUCCCACAUAGGUCAAUUACUAGCUGCUGUACUACCUAUCUAGCUAGUCACCCAAAUUUGAUCAAAUUAUGUUGAUGUGUACUUACCUAACAUAUACUAACAAAUUCAUUUACCAUAUAUCCAUUGACGGAAUCAAGAUCUCGAAACAGUUCGGCAGUCAGUGAUUAUAUUGGAAUAGUAUGGUAUAUAUAGACACAUCCUAGGCAAGUAGGUAGCAUUAGAAUAGAUACAGUUUGUUCCAUCAGGUCAUCUUGCAGCUUCAAUCACUCAGUAC